rnacentral:rRNA from 1 species
CCUACGGGAGGCAGCAGUAGGGAAUCUUCCGCAAUGGACGAAAGUCUGACGGAGCAACGCCGCGUGAACGAUGAAGGCUUUCGGGUCGUAAAGUUCUGUUGUCAGGGAAGAACAAGUACCGGAGUAACUGCCGGUCACCUUGAUCGGUACCUGACGCAGAAAGCCACGGCUAACUACGUGCCAGCAGCCGCGGUAAUACGUAGGUGGCAAGCGUUGUCCGGAAUUAUUGGGCGUAAAGCGCGCGCAGGCGGUUCCUUAAGUCUGAUGUGAAAGCCCCCGGCUCAACCGGGGAGGGUCAUUGGAAACUGGGGAACUUGAGUGCAGAAGAGGAGAGCGGAAUUCCACGUGUAGCGGUGAAAUGCGUAGAGAUGUGGAGGAACACCAGUGGCGAAGGCGGCUCUCUGGUCUGUAACUGACGCUGAGGCGCGAAAGCGUGGGGAGCGAACAGGAUUAGAUACCCUGGUAGUCCACGCCGUAAACGAUGAGUGCUAAGUGUUAGAGGGUUUCCGCCCUUUAGUGCUGCAGCAAACGCAUUAAGCACUCCGCCUGGGGAUAGUGACAAGGGCCGCAAGCGGCAUGAAACUCACAAGGAAUUGACGGGGGCCCGUCACAAGCGGUGGAGCAUGUGGUUUAAUUCGAAGCAACGCGAAGAACCUUAC